rnacentral:rRNA from 1 species
AUUGAAUGCUGGCGGAAUGCUUUACCCAUGCAAGUCGAACGGCAGCACGGACUUCGGUCUGGUGGCGAGUGGCGAACGGGUGAGUAAUAUAUCGGAACGUGCCCAGUCGUGGGGGAUAACGUAGUGAAAAUUACGCUAAUACCGCAUACGAUCUACGGAUGAAAGCGGGGGAUCGCAAGACCUCGCGCGAUUGGAGCGGCCGAUAUCAGAUUAGGUAGUUGGUGAGGUAAAGGCUCACCAAGCCAACGAUCUGUAGUUGGUCUGAGAGGACGACCAGCCACACUGGGCCUGAGACACGGCCCAGACUCUGACGGGAGGCAGCAGGGGGGAAUUUUGGACAAUGGACGCAGGUCUGAUCCAGCCAUUCCGCGUGCAGGACGAAGGCCUUCGGGUUGUAAACUGCUUUUGUACAGAACGAAAAGGUUUCUAUUAAUACUAGGGGCUCAUGACGGUACUGUAAGAAUAAGCACCGGCUAACUACGUGCCAGCCGCCGCCGUAA